UGGACAUAGUGCUUCAGUGGAAGGUGGCAUUUCUUGAAGGAAGCACUCCAUCUUCGGUGCCAGCCCCUGCUGCAGGAAGGAAGGCAAUGCCAGACACGGGCACAGCCACAGCAGACUGGGAGGCUGGGAAGGAUUCUCGAUUAGCCUGGCGCUCUGAAGUUUUGAAGCCCUCCGAGCAUUCUGCAGGGACGACCUCACCAACUCCUACCUUGGAUGGUGCACAAAAGCCCAGCUCCCAUGGCAGGGGUCCUACAACAGGAGAUGCCAAAGACAUGGCAGGCAAGAAAUUUCGGGACCCAUUAGAAAUCAUGUGGCAUAUGCUGAAGGAACGUCUGCAGAGAAGACAAG